rnacentral:SRP_RNA from 19 species
CCGUGAACCUGGUCAGGCCCGGAAGGGAGCAGCCACAGCGGUGGAUCUGUGUGCCGGGGUGUGGCUGGUAGGGC